CUGGGUAUAGCUCAGUCUGAUCAGAGCCCCCGGUUUGGAACCGGGAGGUCGUUGGUUUGAAUCCAACUGCCCAGACCA
rnacentral:tRNA from 1 species